rnacentral:rRNA from 1 species
GUUGAUCCUGCGGGAGAUUGCUGCUAUUUGGGUUCGAUUAAGCCAUGCAAGUCUUCUAGCAAUAGAGGCAGAAUGCUCAGUAACACGUCGAUAACUUGCCCUUAAGUCUGGAAUAACCUCGGGAAACUGAGGCUAAGACCGGAUAGGAAAUUACUUCUGGAACGAUUUUUUUCUGAAAGGUAACGCUUAAGGAUAGGUCGGCGGCGGAUUAGGCUGUUGGCGAGGUAACGGCUCACCAAACCUUAGAUCCGUACGGGCUCUGAGAGGAGUAGCCCGGAGAGGGGCACUGAGGUACCGGCCCCAGCCCUACGGGGUGCAGCAGGCGCGAAACCUUUACAAUGCACGCAAGUGUGAUAAGGGAACCCAAAGUGCUUAGUUAAACUAGGCUUUUGUUGAGUGUAGAUAACUCGACGAAUAAGUGGUGGGAAAGACUGGUGCCAGCCGCCGCGGUAACACCAGCGCCACGAGUGGCAAUCCUAUUUAUUUGGCCUAAAGCGUCCGUAGCCGAUUGAGUAAAUCUCUUGUGAAAUUGUUCUGCUCAACAGAACAGCGUGCAGGAGACACUGCUUAGUUAGGGACCGGGAGGAGUCAGAGGUAUGCUUAGGGGAGCGGUAAAAUGUUAUAAUCCUAAGUAGACCACCUGUGGCGAAGGCGUCUGACUAGAACGGGUCCGACGGUGAGGGACGAAAGCCAAGGGAGCAAACCGGAUUAGAUACCCGAGUAGUCUUGGCUGUAAACUCUGCGAGCUAGGUGUCGCAUAUUCUCCGUGAAUAUGCGGUGUCGAAGCGAAGGUGUUAAGCUCGCCGCCUGGGAAGUACGGUCGCAAGACUGAAACUUAAAGGAAUUGGCGGGGGAGCACUACAAGGGGUGCGGCGUGCGGUUUAAUCUAACUCCACGCAGAGAAUCUCACCAGAGGCGACGGCAAGAUGAAGGUCAGUCUAAAGGGCUUACCUGAUGAGCCGAGAGGUAGUGCAUGGCCGCCGUCAGCUCGUGCCGUAAGGUGUCCUGUUAAGUCAGGCAACGAGCGAGACCUGUAUCCACAAUUGCUAACGACUAAUUUUUAGAAUCGAGCACAUUGUGGGGACUGCCCUGGAAACAGGGAGGAAGGUGCAGGCAACGGUAGGUCUGUAUGCUCCGAAUCUUCUGGGCUACACGCGCGCAACAAUGAUACAGACAAUGGGUCGCAACUCCGAAAGGAGAAGCUAAACCUCGAAACUGUACCCAAGUCCAGAUUGAGGGCUGUAACUCGCCCUCAUGACGCUGGAAUCCCUAGUAAUCGGAACUCAUCACAUUCCGGUGAAUAUGUCCCUGCUCCUUGCACACACCGCCCGUCAAACCACCCGAGUAGGGUCUAGAUGAGGCUUGGUUUUGAAUCAAGUCGAAUCUAAGCUUUGCGAGGAGGGUUAAGUCGUCACAAGGUA